rnacentral:rRNA from 1 species
CUCAUUAAAUCAGUUAUAGUUUAUUUGAUGGUCUCUUUGUUCUUCUUUUUACCUACUUGGAUAACCGUGGUAAUUCUAGAGCUAAUACAUGCGCAAGGUCCCGAGCGCGGAGAGUAGGACUUCACGGUUCUAUUCUUGCAUGCGUAGAGGGAUGUAUUUAUUAGGUUAAAAACCAGCGGCAGGGGUCGGCAAUGGCCCCUGCCAAACACUCCUGGUGAUUCAUAGUAACUCUUUCGGAUCGCAUUCAUG